rnacentral:rRNA from 1 species
UACGAAGGGGGCUAGCGUUGCUCGGAAUUACUGGGCGUAAAGCGUGCGCAGGCGGUUGUGCAAGACCGAUGUGAAAUCCCCGGGCUUAACCUGGGAAUGGCAUUGGUGACUGCACGGCUAGAGUGUGUCAGAGGGGGGUAGAAUUCCACGUGUGAGCAGUGAAAUGCGUAGAUAUGUGGAGGAACACCGAUGGCGAAGGCAGCCCCCUGGGUCAAGACUGACGCUCAUGCACGAAAGCGUGGGGAGCAAACAGG